rnacentral:rRNA from 1 species
AUGAACGCUGGCGGCGUGCCUCAUACAUGCAAGUCGAGCGAACAGAUAAGGAGCUUGCUCCUUUGACGUUAGCGGCGGACGGGUGAGUAACACGUGGGUAACCUACCUAUAAGACUGGGAUAACUUCGGGAAACCGGAGCUAAUACCGGAUAACAUUUGGAACCGCAUGGUUCUAAAGUGAAAGAUGGUUUUGCUAUCACUUAUAGAUGGACCCGCGCCGUAUUAGCUAGUUGGUAAGGUAACGGCUUACCAAGGCGACGAUACGUAGCCGACCUGAGAGGGUGAUCGGCCACACUGGAACUGAGACACGGUCCAGACUCCUACGGGAGGCAGCAGUAGGGAAUCUUCCGCAAUGGGCGGAAGCCUGACGGAGCAACGGCGCGUGAGGGAUGAAGGGGUUCGGCUCGGAAAACUCUGUUAAUAGGGAAGAACAAAUGGUGAAGGAAACGGUCCAGGCUUGACGGUACCUAAUUAGAAAGGCACGGCUAACUACGUG